GACGAACGCUGGCGGCGUGCUUAACACAUGCAAGUCGAACGGAAAGGCCCUGCCUUUGUGGGGUGCUCGAGUGGCGAACGGGUGAGUAACACGUGAGUAACCUGCCCUUGACUUUGGGAUAUCUUCAGGAAACUGGGGCUAAUACUGGAUAGGAGCUCCUGAUGCAUGGUGGGGGUUGGAAAGUUUCGGCGGUUGGGGAUGGACUCGCGGCUUAUCAGCUUGUUGGUGGGGUAGUGGCUUACCAAGGCUUUGACGGGUAGCCGGCCUGAGAGGGUGACCGGCCACAUUGGGACUGAGAUACGGCCCAGACUCCUACGGGAGGCAGCAGUGGGGAAUAUUGCACAAUGGGCGGAAGCCUGAUGCAGCAACGCCGCGUGCGGGAUGACGGCCUUCGGGUUGUAAACCGCUUUCGCCUGUGACGAAGCGUUAGUGACGGUAAUGGGUAAAGAAGCACCGGCUAACUACGUG
rnacentral:rRNA from 1 species